GGGCGUAUAGCUCAGUUGGCUAGAGCUCCUGGUUUACAUCCAGGCGGUCGGGGGUUCGAGUCCCUCUGCGCCCA
rnacentral:tRNA from 1 species